GGCUCAGAACGAACGCUGGCGGCAGGCUUAACACAUGCAAGUCGAACGCCCCGCAAGGGGAGUGGCAGACGGGUGAGUAACGCGUGGGAAUCUACCGUGCCCUACGGAAUAGCUCCGGGAAACUGGAAUUAAUACCGUAUACGCCCUACGGGGGAAAGAUUUAUCGGGGUAUGAUGAGCCCGCGUUGGAUUAGCUAGUUGGUGGGGUAAAGGCCUACCAAGGCGACGAUCCAUAGCUGGUCUGAGAGGAUGAUCAGCCACAUUGGGACUGAGACACGGCCCAAACUCCUACGGGAGGCAGCAGUGGGGAAUAUUGGACAAUGGGCGCAAGCCUGAUCCAGCCAUGCCGCGUGAGUGAUGAAGGUCUUAGGAUUGUAAAGCUCUUUCACCGAUGAAGAUAAUGACG
rnacentral:rRNA from 1 species